AGCAGCAUGGAGGUAAGAGUAGUACUUUUUGCAUUUUUUAUUAAUGUUUUCUAAACAGGUAAAGAAAAUGACGUUAACCUACAUGUACAGUAUAUGUUAAUUACAAUAGUCUGUUAAUCAAAAUAUUACAAACAUCCUUUACUGUUGUCUGGCCCAUUAGAAAUAGUGAUGUUAAAGAUACUGCUUGUGUUUUUCAUUAUAUGACCGUAUGGGAAGAUGAAAAAAAACAUGUGACUUUCUCUUCAUGUUAGUUUAAUGUGAAAACAAGGUUAAUCUAAAUCUGUUCUUUAUUCCCCCCAGAAUAAUGGAUAUGAAAAUGAGAAAAUUGGCAUAGAAGUAUGGUAAAAUAAAUAAACAUUAUCCUGAUAAAUCUUCAAAUUCUAAUGAAUAUUCUACCUUCAAGAACUUCUCAACAAAAGAAUGCUCUAAGUUAAUCGAACAAAUUAUACCACCAUCAGUUGAUGAUACUUUUAAAACUUUAACUUUUUAUCAAGAGUUUGAUUCUAGCGAAGUACAAGAUCACACAGAGCUAUAUAAGCAAAAUACUACUAAUAAAACAAUACGUUUAUAGUUGGAAUAAUCUUGUUAUAAAAUUACAUUUUAAAAUGCACAGUAUGGCUAUAUUUAAAAUUUUUGAGAAUUCUAACAGGAUAGCAAAAGCAAACCUCAUUGAAUACGUACCUUUGAAGUCAUCUGAAGACCAGACCAAAUAUCUCUAUUACAAGUAUGGUAGGGACCCAAAAAUGAAGCAGACGAUACUGUCGAAGGUUGAUAAAUUCAUUCUUGAAGAAAUUUGUAAAUUUCCAAUUUACCCCAAAAGGAAAUAUUCUUAUUAUGUAGCAUUGCUUCACACUAUGAAAGAUAUAACCAUUCACAAAAAUGGAGCAAAUCAUACAUACAUUAUAGCAGGACUGUUUAAUGGACAGGAAUGACCUCUAUUGUACACCUGUGUUCAGAAUGAAUCACUUUAUUGAGGACGGCAAUGUUAUUAAAGUGACUGACAUUUCAAUUCCUGAAGAAAAAAUGUCAUAUAGUACAUUAUGUAAUAAGUUUCCAACAUCACUAGACUUCCGACGGUUUCUCAUUUACUUCAUCAAUGGAGAUCAAGAAAGCCUUUUUUAUUAUAUGCAUAAUGCAUUUCUUGCAACUGCUUUAGUGGCGAUGUUAAUCUCAGAGGUAAUCAGAAAUCCAAUUAGGAUAUUUAAUAACAGAAUUGCAAUUCAAAUGAAUACAUUAAAAAUGUAAUGACUUCCGCCAGAUCCUGCCAUCUCUAGCUGGGGGAACCUGGAAAGCUCAAAAACCCUAUGGUCCUAAAUUUUUUUAAAGAAACCAAGAAUUUCUCAAAAAUGUGGAAUUCAAUGAUUUACCGUUAAUUGAUUGACCUUCUGCUGUCGGAGAUCACAUACACUGACUUAAAGUGGUUGAGAUGGAAAUGGAAGCAGAACCAUUUCCAUUAUUUUUUUGUUUCAUAAUAGAUUCUCUUUUAAUUCAACAUUUUUAGAGAUGCUUAAUAGGUCGAUUCUGGAUGGUUGCGCUAACGUAGGCUAAUGCAAUUAGCAUGAGGUUGUAAGUAACAAGAACAUUUCCCAGGACAUAGACAUAUCAGAUAUUGGCAGAAAGCCAAACAGGUUCAAUUCUUGUUCAUCCAACUGCACUAUCCAAUUUAUAGUAGCUAUUACAAUGAAAGAAUACGAUGCUAUUGUUUGAGGAGAGCGCACAAUUUUGAACAUGAAAACGUAUUAAUAAACAAACUAGGCAGUCUUGAAACAACAUUUUGAACUGAAAUCCAAUGGUUCAUUGGAUCAGUCUUAAAUGUUUCAUACACUGAUGCCAUCUAGUGGCCAAAAUCUAAAUUGCACCUGGGCUGGAAUAAUACAUUAUGGCCUUUCUCUUGCAUUUUCAAAGAUGAUGGUACAAAAAACACAAAAGAAUGGUUGUUUUUUUCUUUGUACAAUUGGCCCAGUGUUGUCCUUGUUUGGCUGGUGUAGGCUGUCAUUGUAAAUAAGAACUGAAUGGUCUAGUUAAAAUUUAGCAAUUUAAAAUAAAUCUAAGCCUAAGAAAUUUACAGAGCAAGGCAGUUAACCCCCAACAGCUGCUCCCUGGGUGGCAAAAAUUCAUCUUCAUUAUUCCCCAUGUUGCUCCACCUCCACUUCCUGGAGGAGCCACAGAGCAGGCUCCUCCAUCUUCUCCUGCCAACUCUGUCAGUCCACCAGACCCUACAAUGCAGCCUCCACACCACUGCAGAAGUAUCAUCCAGCAUCCUGUGGCAACCGCAAUGUGAAUCAAAUCAAAUAAACUAGAAUAUACAUCCGCACUGACCCGUGAAUCCGCACUGACCCAUGGUCACCACCGACCCGGGCUCUACAGAGGCAGCCUUGGACGCCCAGGCUUUGCACACGUUCAAGGACACAAGAUUGAAGGAUCCCAGUGAGCAAAUUACUUAUUUUUAAUCCUCUUAAGGAUCUCUACAGAUUGGUGUCCCACCCGUGGGAUGGUUGAGCUAAUGUGUGCUAAUGCGAUUAGCAUGAGGUUGUAAGUAACAAGAACAUUUCCCAGGACAUAGA